rnacentral:lncRNA from 1 species
UAGUGCUUAUUAUGGCGAGUAGAUGUCACCAGAAGAAAGGGACCCCCUGCCAGUGAGUCCUAGCAGUGCAGGAGGGCAGACCCUGAAGGAGACAGCGACCUAAGUUGAUGUCUAUACAGUGAAUUCCAGAGGCUUAGGAAGUUCUGUG